UUCUGCACGCUGCUGUGACCGCUCCGAGCGCGUCUCCUGUGAACUCUCGCCUGCUUUAUUUCGUGCCGCACGCUACUGUGACUGUUUCGAGCGGACGACUGUUUGGUGCUGCGACCCAUUGUGUCCCACUACUAACGUGGUAUUGGUUUCCUCCGGAUGGCUGUUGUGCAGGUGUCUGUGCCCUUCAGUUUGAGGUUUGAGGUGUGAAUGAUGACUGUGGUGAACCAUUAAAAGGAUGUCCUUUUGGGUAUCUGAACCCGCAGCUACGGAGCUGCGGCCCUUUUUGCUUGGGCAAUUGACCGUUCCUCUCCCUGUUUUGGUGGUGGUGUUUACGCCGUGACUGAUCAUUUCACUGGGGCUCUUGUGCUGUGAGUGUGUUUGAGGAGAACAAAAUAUCCUUUUCGAGGGCACCUCCUAAAUAGAGGCCGCAGCUGUCUCUCUGUGAACUUCGUAUUUGAGGCUUGUCGCCUUUCUGUG